rnacentral:rRNA from 1 species
GACGAACGCUGGCGGCGUGCCUAAUACAUGCAAGUCGAACGAACUCUGGUAUUGAUUGGUGCUUGCAUCAUGAUUUACAUUUGAGUGAGUGGCGAACUGGUGAGUAACACGUGGGAAACCUGCCCAGAAGCGGGGGAUAACACCUGGAAACAGAUGCUAAUACCGCAUAACAACUUGGACCGCAUGGUCCGAGUUUGAAAGAUGGCUUCGGCUAUCACUUUUGGAUGGUCCCGCGGCAUAUUAGCUAGAUGGUGGGGUAACGGCUCACCAUGGCAAUGAUACGUAGCCGACCUGAGAGGGUAAUCGGCCACAUUGGGACUGAGACACGGCCCAAACUCCUACGGGAGGCAGCAGUAGGGAAUCUUCCACAAUGGACGAAAGUCUGAUGGAGCAACGCCGCGUGAGUGAAGAAGGGUUUCGGCUCGUAAAACUCUGUUGUUAAAGAAGAACAUAUCUGAGAGUAACUGUUCAGGUAUUGACGGUAUUUAACCAGAAAGCCACGGCUAACUACGUGCCAGCAGCCGCGGUAAUACGUAGGUGGCAAGCGUUGUCCGGAUUUAUUGGGCGUAAAGCGAGCGCAGGCGGUUUUUUAAGUCUGAUGUGAAAGCCUUCGGCUCAACCGAAGAAGUGCAUCGGAAACUGGGAAACUUGAGUGCAGAAGAGGACAGUGGAACUCCAUGUGUAGCGGUGAAAUGCGUAGAUAUAUGGAAGAACACCAGUGGCGAAGGCGGCUGUCUGGUCUGUAACUGACGCUGAGGCUCGAAAGUAUGGGUAGCAAACAGGAUUAGAUACCCUGGUAGUCCAUACCGUAAACGAUGAAUGCUAAGUGUUGGAGGGUUUCCGCCCUUCAGUGCUGCAGCUAACGCAUUAAGCAUUCCGCCUGGGGAGUACGGCCGCAAGGCUGAAACUCAAAGGAAUUGACGGGGGCCCGCACAAGCGGUGGAGCAUGUGGUUUAAUUCGAAGCUACGCGAAGAACCUUACCAGGUCUUGACAUACUAUGCAAAUCUAAGAGAUUAGACGUUCCCUUCGGGGACAUGGAUACAGGUGGUGCAUGGUUGUCGUCAGCUCGUGUCGUGAGAUGUUGGGUUAAGUCCCGCAACGAGCGCAACCCUUAUUAUCAGUUGCCAGCAUUAAGUUGGGCACUCUGGUGAGACUGCCGGUGACAAACCGGAGGAAGGUGGGGAUGACGUCAAAUCAUCAUGCCCCUUAUGACCUGGGCUACACACGUGCUACAAUGGAUGGUACAACGAGUUGCGAACUCGCGAGAGUAAGCUAAUCUCUUAAAGCCAUUCUCAGUUCGGAUUGUAGGCUGCAACUCGCCUACAUGAAGUCGGAAUCGCUAGUAAUCGCGGAUCAGCAUGCCGCGGUGAAUACGUUCCCGGGCCUUGUACACACCGCCCGUCACACCAUGAGAGUUUGUAACACCCAAAGUCGGUGGGGUAACCUUUUAGGGACCAGCCGCCUAAGGUGGGACAGAUGAUUAGGGUG